rnacentral:rRNA from 1 species
AUUGAACGCUGGCGGCAGGCCUAACACAUGCAAGUCGAACGAGUGGCGGACGGGUGAGUAAUGUCUGGGAAACUGCCAGAUGGAGGGGGAUAACUAAUGGAAACGGUAGCUAAUACCGCGUACAAGCGGAUGUGCCCAGAUGUGAUUAGCUUGUAGGGUAGGUAACGGCUCACCUAGGCGCCGAUCCCUAGCUGGUCUGAGAGGAUGACCAGCCCCACUGGAACGUAGACACGGUCCAGACUCCUCCGGGAGGCAGCAGUGGGGAAUAUGGCACAAUGUGCGCAAGCCUGAUGCAGCCAUGCCGCGUGUAUGAAGAAGGCCUUCGGGUUGUAAAGUCCUUUCAGCGGGGAGGCGUUACCCGCAGAAGAAGCACCGGCUAACUCCGUGCCAGCAGCCGCGGUAAUAC